rnacentral:rRNA from 1 species
GACGAACGCUGGCGGCGUGCUUAACACAUGCAAGUCGAAGAUAGUGGCGAACGGGGGAGUAAUACGUGGGUAACCUGCCCUCCUUUUUGGGAUAAGCGUUGGAAACGGGGUCUACUACCGAAUAAAGGGGGAUGGGCUCGCGGCCUGUCAGCUUGUUGUUGGGGUGAUGGCAUACCAAGGCGGUGACGGGUAGUCGGCCUGAGAGGGUGACCGGGCACAUAGGGACUGUGAUACGGCCCAGGCGCCUACGGGGGGCAGCAGUGGGGGAUAUUGCACAAAGGGCGAAAGCCUGAUGCAGCGACGCCGCGUGGGGGAUGAAGGUUGUCAGGUUGUAACCCUCUUUCGCUAUGGAACCGGUAGGUGGAGAAGAAGCGCCGGCUAACUACGUGCCAGCAGCCGCGGUAAUUC